rnacentral:rRNA from 1 species
UGGGGAAUCUUGCGCAAUGGGCGAAAGCCUGACGCAGCAACGCCGCGUGGGGGAUGAAGGCUCUCGGGUUGUAAACCCCUUUCAGCAGGGACGAAAAUGACGGUACCUGCAGAAGAAGCCCCGGCCAACUACGUGCCAGCAGCCGCGGUAACACGUAGGGGGCGAGCGUUGUCCGGAAUUAUUGGGCGUAAAGAGCUCGUAGGCAGUUCGGUAAGUCAGGCGCGAAAUUUUGGGGCUCAACCCCAAGACUGCGCCAGAUACUGCUGUGACUAGAGUCCGGUAGAGGAGUGUGGAAUUCCUGGUGUAGCGGUGAAAUGCGCAGAUAUCAGGAGGAACACCAGCGGCGAAGGCGGCACUCUGGGCCGGCACUGACGCUGAGGAGCGAAAGCGUGGGUAGCAAACAGGAUUAGAUACCCCGGUAUUCC